rnacentral:lncRNA from 1 species
UUUUACAAAGCAUUCAGAGUACUGCGACAUCUUCCAGUAAAGGACUGAUCUGUGAUGCAGUGCAGGACUUUGAAGAACGUAGGUGAAAAGCAGCCUGAAGUGGAGUAACGUACAGUGUGUGCAAAGGACAGCAGAGCCUCUGAAUUGGAAGGGUGUUGGGUAGGCUCUUCUGAAUUCCCAGGUUUCGCUAUUCAGAAUGGAAACUGUUGAGUUCUAGUUGUAAGGAAGGCAUACAUCAACCUGUAUGCUUUUGUGUUUGGAAUGAGUGUUGUCACUGAAGAGACAUGUUUGGUUAUGAUACUGCUGGCACACCAAAAAUAAAAGAGACUACACACCACAGGUGUAAUGUCUGGCUUGUGUGAAGAGUCUGGAGUUACAGAGAAACCAGUGCUCCCACUGCUUUUCAUCUUUACAGUCUAGAAAACAAGCCAAACAAAAACCAGGCAGACUACCUCUGCCAUCCACCAGACUUUAAAGGAAUUAUUUUUAAUUGGAUUUUCUUUUCUGAAAUGCUGUUCAUAAAAUACCCAAAUGUAUUUUAUUUCAAUCGUGGGAAUAGAUCUUGUUAUUUAAAUGGCUGGAAUCAAGCAACCGCUUGACCCUGGGAGCUAACUGCUUAGAAAUAAAUGAAAUCAUCAAAUACUUGAGUUGUCUGAACAGGCAAUUCAGCACAUGCCUGGUGAAGUCCUGAAGCAACCAGUGAGCAAGUUGCCUUUUUCUGUUGAUUUGAGUAUUCUGAUGUGUGAAUUUAAUGAGCUUUUCUAGUGACUGUGUGUCUACAAAGGGUAAACCCAAAGGGGAAUCUUAUUUUACAGUGUUGUUAUUUGCCAAAUAAGGUCAGUGUAUAUCUGAUGCCUACUAAAUACGCUAAAACUAAUGCUUGGUUAUUUAUUAUUAUUUGUUUAAGUAAGGAUGAAGAUUCUCCUUGCAAAAUAAGUAACCACGUGUGAUUGGCGGCCAGUGCUGUCCUCUGCAUCCCCACAACGCAGUGUCCUUCGUGUCAGAGUUGCCUGAAAUAGUGUCAUUCCCACUGGUCAGAGGCAAGGAUGAGAUGUUUAAGUAAAGACACCAAACGUUUCUAUUAAAAGAGAUUUAAUCCAGCAUGGUUUCUAAAUAUUAACUGUGUGCUGGUUUCUGGCUGUGGCAUGCAGUACACUUAAAAAAAAAAAAAAAUACAAAAAAAUACAAAUCAAUUGAAUAUAAAAAGCCCAGAUCCCCUGAUGUCACAAUGAGUGUCAGUAAAACAUGACAACAGAGAGGAAAGAAAUGGAGGAUUUCAAACAAGAGAAGGUCCAACGAGCUCUUUUCAGAAAAGCAAAGAUUAUUUAUCACAUUUGGAAGCAAACGUCUGGUUUGCUUUUAUUCCUUCAGUGGUCUGAGAACAGGAGUUGCAGAAGCCGCCUGGUAGACGUCUCCAAAUCUGGCCAGCGCCUUCCCAAGCACCAGCUCACUGUCAGCAGAGACAUCCAGUGGUCACUGAGCAGUAAUUACCUGCAACUGCAAAUGGAAAAAUGUCCUGAAGAGCAGCCAGCAAUUGUGAGUGAGCAUCCCUCUGCCAGCAAGAGCAGCAGGACAUCCCCACUUAACACGAGUAGUUGUCCAUCUGCAUGUGAGUAUCUAAAUGCAUGUGAGUAUCUGCAUCUGAACAGUUUUUACCUGAGAUUUUUAAAACAGUCAAGUGUUUGCCUCACUUUUGCUAUGUGUAAGAGGACCAGUGUCAUUGAGACCUCAGCACUGGGCAGACUUAGGCUGAUGUUGGCUGCUUCUGAAAACCAUUUGCCCAGAAUCAGGCAUAAAUCCUGUGCUCUAACAAAACAGUGCUGUGUGUCAACACCUUGAAAGCUAUAGCAUGUCAUAGAAUAUAGUUUAAAGAGUGCUUUGGGACCUUUUGAAUGAAAGGUAAUAUGGACAAAUUUCUCAUCAGGAGGUAAAGCUAUUAGCAGCCAGCCUGAACUCCAGCAUAGUCCCUUUUCUGAAGUUAUCCCGUGCAAUUAAAUCUGUGGUUAUAUUUCAUAUUUCACUUACUGUCAAAGGCCAGUAGAGUCCUUUAAACUUCUCAUUAAGCUUAGAGGCGUAGGCAAAAAAAAGAAACAGUGCCAGCAGAAAUUCUAGGAGUGGUGCCAUCAUGAAUGCGGAAGCUGAAGAUGCAAUAUAGCAGAUAAAGAUGAUAAAUGACAGCACCGACUCGGCGAGCAGCAGCUGCCCCUUACGGGAGCACAGGAAUUCCCGCGGCGGCAGCAGCGAGCGCAGCCCGGGCGGCGGAGGCUCCGCGUUGGCCCCCGGCUCCUCCAUGGCUGCGGCCGCGGGCUGCGGGGCGCUCGGCUCUGGGCUGCUUUUUUUUUCUUUUUUGAAGGAGGGAAGCGGAAAUCAUGACACUGCGGAAACGUGAAAAAAAACCCGCAACCUUUCAGUAUCC